rnacentral:rRNA from 1 species
UACGUAGGGGGCAAGCGUUGUCCGGAUUCAUUGGGCGUAAAGAGCGUGUAGGCGGCCAGAUAGGUCCGUUGUGAAAACUCGAGGCUCAACCUCGAGACGCCGAUGGAAAACCAUUUGGCUAGAGUCCGGAAGAGGAGAGUGGAAUUCCUGGUGUAGCGGUGAAAUGCGCAGAUAUCAGGAAGAACACCCGUGGCUAAGGCGGCUCUCUAGUACGGUACUGACGCUGAGACGCGAAAGCGUGGGGAGCGAACAGG